rnacentral:lncRNA from 1 species
GGGUACUUAUAUUGUACAACAAAAAAGAAAUUAAAAAAAAAGUACAAUUAUUUUGGUUUUUCUCUCUAGGUGAUUUGGAGAAAAGAUUAGAAGACAGAAAGAAGAAAAUGGUGAGGCAAGCUUAGCAAUUAUCUGGAGGAGUGAGAUUGCACUUUGCAGGAAGUGAAGUAGCAAGAAUUGGGUCAAUUCCAAGAAAAGGUAACUCUGAAGAGUUCUUGUAAGAGCAAAGGCAUUUCAAGUCAGCACCAGCAAGAGCUUUGCAGCACUCAGGAGAUGGAUCAACUGGGUUUGGCUCAGUCACUGAGGGCUUGCAUGCCUCCAAUCCCUCUUCAUUCAUAUCACAAAAACUCAGACCUUUGCACUCUUUC